AGGAGUGUGGCGCAGUUGGAAAGCGCGCAGCCUUGCGAAGGCUGAGGUCGCCCGUUCGAGUCGGGCCAUUCCUA
rnacentral:tRNA from 1 species